rnacentral:tRNA from 1 species
GCCUGGCUGGCUCAGUCAGUAGAGCAUGCAACUCUUGAUCUGAAUUUCAUGAGUUCGAGCCCCAUGUUGGGUA